GACAGAGGGUGCAAACGUUGUUCGGAAUUACUGGGCGUAAAGCGCGUGUAGGCGGUUAUGCAAGUCGGAUGUGAAAGCCCUGGGCUCAACCCAGGAAGUGCAUUCGAAACUCCCGAACUGGAGUCCUGGAGAGGAAGGCGGAAUUCUCGGUGUAGAGGUGAAAUUCGUAGAUAUCGAGAGGAACAUCGGUGGCGAAGGCGGCCUUCUGGACAGUGACUGACGCUGAGACGCGAAAGCGUGGGGAGCAAACAGG
rnacentral:rRNA from 1 species